AGUGGGCCUAAAAGCAGCCAUCUUUAAAAUUGCGUCAAAGCUUAAUUGUUCUCGCGCUUAAUCACCAGAUUUUUAUCUUAAUCCCUAAUCAAUACUGAGUAAUUCUAUAAAACUAUAGAAAAUUUUAUGUUAAAACUAGUAACAAGAAGAGGACUCUUCUCUUAAAUGUAAGUGUACAUCAGAAAGGACAAACCACUGAUACUUAACAUCCAUGAGUCUAAAGUAGUAACCAACCAAGAAAACUCUACUUCCACCUAUGUUAACCUAACACAAGAACAUUCAAAGAAAGAUUAAAAGAAAAAGAAGGAACUCGGCAAAUAUUAACCCCGCCUGUUUACCAAAAACAUCGCCUCUUGAAUUUUAUAAGAGGUCCAGCCUGCCCAGUGACUCUGUUCAACGGCCGCGGUAUCCUAACCGUGCGAAGGUAGCGUAAUCACUUGUUCUUUAAAUGUGGACUAGUAUGAAUGGCACCACGAAGGUUAUACUGUCUCCUUUUUCUAAUCAGUGAAACUAAUCUCCCCGUGAAGAAGCGGGGAUAAAGCUAUAAGACGAGAAGACCCUAUGGAGCUUUAAACAACAUAGCACUUGCCACACACCAUUAAAAUUCCAGAAUCUUAAACUCUCUGAGCAAUAUGACUAUAAGUUUUUGGUUGGGGUGACCGCGGAGCAUAACACAACCUCCAUGUUGAAAGAAUCAUUUUCUAAGCUAAGAACUACAACUCUAAGCAUCAACAUAUUGACAUCCAUUGACCCAAUACACUUGAACAACAAACCAAGUUACCCUAGGGAUAACAGCGCAAUCCACUUCAAGAGCUCCUAUCGACAAGUGGGUUUACGACCUCGAUGUUGGAUCAGGGUUUCCCAGUGGUGCAGCCGCUACUAAAGGUUCGUUUGUUCAACGAUUAAAACCCUACGUGAUCUGAGUUCAGACCGGAG
rnacentral:rRNA from 1 species